GACGAACGCUGGCGGCGUGCCUAACACAUGCAAGUCGAACGGGGUGUUCCUUCGGGAACACUUAGUGGCGAACGGGUGAGUAACGCGUGAGAAACCUGCCUUUCAGUGGGGGACAACAGUUGGAAACGACUGCUAAUACCGCAUAAUGUUAUUUGGGGGCAUCCCCGAAUAACCAAAGAUUUAUUGCUGAAAGAUGGUCUCGCGUCUGAUUAGCUAGUUGGUGAGGUAACGGCUCACCAAGGCGACGAUCAGUAGCCGGUCUGAGAGGAUGAACGGCCACAUUGGGACUGAGAUACGGCCCAGACUCCUACGGGAGGCAGCAGUGGGGAAUAUUGGGCAAUGGGGGAAACCCUGACCCAGCAACGCCGCGUGAAGGAAGAAGGCCUUCGGUU
rnacentral:rRNA from 1 species